rnacentral:rRNA from 1 species
UACAGAGGUCUCAAGCGUUUGUUCGGAUUCAUUGGGCGUAAAGGGUGCGUAGGCGGCGCCGGUAAGUCGGGAGUGUGAAAUUCGAUGCUUAACUCCGAAACUGCAUUCGAUACUGCGUGCUUGAGGACUGGAGAGGAGACUGGAAUUUAGGUGUAGCGUGAAAUGCGUAGAGAUCAUGAGGAAGACCAGUGGCGAAGGCGGGUCCUGCU